rnacentral:pre_miRNA from 1 species
GAGGUACUCCCUCCGUUCGGAAUUACUUGUCUCGGAAAUGGAUGUAUCUAGACCUCCGUUCGGAAUUAAUUGUCGCAGAAAUGGAUGUAUCUAGACGUAUUUUAGUUCUAGAUACAUCCAUUUCCGAGACAAGUAAUUCCGAACGGAGGGAGUACAUG